UAUUAUUAUAACAAAGGUACAGUUGGUCACACAUGUAGUUUGCACCUGUUUGGCCUGUUUUGUAACUCCUGUCGUACGUACGUGGCAGUGUGGUGAAAGUAGUCACUCGCCAAAUGAUCAAAUCAAAGAUCGACAUUCUCCAGUCAGUUGGGAAAUAUUUUAAUAUUAACUUUUAGAGCACGGUUCAAAACUUUUUAUGUCCAUUAAAAAACCGAUUUCUGUACGGAUUUAAGUGAAAACGUUGAUAAAAGGCACGUCAAAGGUCAUAUAGAUGGGCAGUGUCAAAGGUCAUAUAGAUGGGCAGUGUCAAAGGUCAUAUAGAUGGGCAGUGUCAAAGGUCAUAUAGAUGGACAGUGUCAAAGGUCAUAUAGAUGGACAGUGUCAAAGGUCAUAUAGAUGGACAGUGUCAAAGGUCAUAUAGGUGGGCAGUGUCAAAGGACACUCAUGCUGGAGAAGUCACCCAUCUCUAGCGACCAUGUUGUUGCUAAUGCUAUCAGCGACACCAGGUGGUCCACCCCUCCUAACCCUCACCCUGACAUGUACAUAGAAUGCCCGUGAGAGGGAAAAUAGAGGGAGAAUAGAGGGAGAAUAGAGCAGAGAGUUCCGUGGAGAUGAUAUGAGAGAGCAAGAAAGUCGAGUGUACAUUAUACACUACAGAAAUAUGCACAGCUUACGCGGGGUUUUCCUUGGUCUCGUUGUCUCAACUUUUCAUCCCCAAAAGCAGGAAAUGUUUUUGUUUGUUUGUUUGUUUGUUUGUUUGUUUGUUUGUUUGUUUGUUUGUUUGAGUAAACAGAAGCACAUCAACAAUAACGGUCAUUUUAUGCUGGGACAAAAGACAGACACACGAAAUGAAAAGAAGAAGGAUCUACCCUGUGGCACCCUCCAGCCACCCUCAGAACGGGCCUCUAUUUCUCACACCGUGGUUGCAGAGCGCGGAGGUUCUACAGUAUUUGUUGGAAGGUCCUUGUGGCACACACACGUCAGCUGACGCCUCUCCUUGAAGGGGCGGGGGAGAGAUCAUUUCAUUUAGUUUUCUCAUCCCCCCCCCCCCCCCCCAAAAAAAAAAAAAAAAAAUGAAUAAAAAUGUACAGUGCAUUUUAACGUUUCUAACUUUAUUUCAUCUUAUUAAUAUUUAAAGACAGAAAUGACUUCAGCUGACAUUUGAAUGAAUCAAAAGAUUUGAUCUCUCUUAAAGUACUUGGCAAAGCAUUCCAGAUCUUGGGGCCUUGGUAUUCAAAGUCAAAUGCCCUUUCACCCAUUGUUUUAAGUUUCAUAGAUGGUAAAAGGAUUUUUUAAUUUUUUUGUGUAUUUCGAUGACAUUAAUAAGUUAAACUGCGAGUUGGAAUGUACAGUCUGAACAUAUUUCAUUAUAAUGAUGGCGCGUUACCAUUCAAGAAUUUGUGACAUAGGGUGGCCAACUUGUACACAAUUGUUUUCUCAACAGGAAGCCAGUGCAAUGUCGUAAAUUAAAGAGGUUUAGCAGACUAAACGUG